CGUGGAUGCUGUCUUUGCAAUCCUUGCUCUUUCUACUCUUUCUAUGCUACCUUCCACUAACUCAUCUUUCUUGCAAGGCAAAGCUGUUUCGUUUUUAAUCUUUCUUGGAAACCCAAAGUUACUGUUUGCUUUACUCAACCUAUCUUAUCAUUGCAGCCUGCUCUUUCCCAUGCCUCUCCAAACUUAUUCUUUCUUACACAAAACCCUUUUCAAACUAAACCCUAAAUCCACUCUGUUUUUUUCAAACAGAACUCAUUUCUUAUUUUUUCUUCCAGCAUGACUCCUUUUCUUUUCCUUCCUCAAACUAAACCCUUUUCAAAUAGGCUCUCAUUUUUUUACUUCCACAAAAAAUCUUCAUCUGUCUCUCUCAUGGCCAGACCCUUGAGCGAGUUUGCGACAUUAACGGAGUUGUGGAAGGUGGCGGUUCGAGAUUGCGACAUCAACGGCACGAAUGUUCCAAUCUAUUAGUGUUACUUCCAUGAGAAAGAUGUUCUUUAGUUUUGAUCUCUGGAUUUCUAAAAGGAAUGUUCCGAUCUAUCAGAUUUGAAUUGCUUUUCCAGUUUUCGUUUUUAUGUUGUUUCAUUUUUUGGCUGUGAAUGUUCCAAUCUAUCAUAAUCGAGUUAUUUCGCUGAGUUUUGAAACUAACAAGAGAAAGAAGAUUUUUUUGAAAAAAAAGAAGAAAGAGAGACAUAUGAGCCGAUGAAGGAGAAAAACCAUUCUCCUUCCAAUCUCUUUUGCGUUUUUCUGGAAAGAUUCUUGCGUUUUGUUUUUGGAAAAUAGAAAAUGUUUGUUUGAAGUUAUGGACAAGAAACGUUUUGGGUUAGGAUUUGACAAUGUUGAAGUUGUUGGGUUUUAGUUGAAGGUUGGAUGAAGAUUUCUUGAAGGCGCGAUGAAUAUUUGUUGAAGUUUUGAAAAUCUGUGUAUUUUGUGGAAAAAAAGGUAAUGAUUUGGUUUGAAGGUUUCUGGGUGAUGAAGAGGAACAUGAAGAAAACCAUGUGAUAUUAUGAGGAGAGAGAGAGUAAGUGUUAAAAAAA